rnacentral:rRNA from 1 species
UACGUAGGGGGCAAGCGUUGUCCGGAUUUAUUGGGCGUAAAGAGCGUGUAGGCGGCCAGGUAGGUCUGCUGUGAAAACUCGAGGCUUAACCUCGAGCUGUCGGCGGAAACCAUCUGGCUAGAGUCCGGAAGAGGAGAAUGGAAUUCCUGGUGUAGCGGUGAAAUGCGUAGAUAUCGAGAGGAACACCGGUGGCGAAGGCGGCAUCCUGGACCAAUUCUGACGCUGAUGAGCGAAAGCCAGGGGAGCAAACGGG